rnacentral:rRNA from 1 species
CGGCGUGAAAAUAGCAAGUUGAAUACCUAUUACACCCAGUUCCCCAUGGAUCACUGAAGUUAAGCAACGUUGUGCGUGGUUAGUAUCUAAAUGGGUGACCAUCUGGGAAAUCGUUUGCUGCUGG